UUAUAAGCAAGCAAACUCUCCUCAGUUAUGUUGUUUAGCUAAACAAAGUAGAAAUAGGAAGGAAAAUGUCAAUGUUCCCUCAUUUACAAGUAACUCAUCUCAUAUGUCACACAAUGUACAACAUUUUAAAUGAAGAAAUCAGUAUUAUAGACUAUUAAGGGAAAAAUAAACAAAAAAUACAGAGCAUAAACAAAAACACAGCUAUUUACAACUCACCUACUA
rnacentral:lncRNA from 1 species